UACGUAGGGGGCAAGCGUUGUCCGGAUUUAUUGGGCGUAAAGGGCGCGUAGGCGGCCGAUCAAGUCGGGGGUGAAAGCCUGUGGCUCAACCACAGAAUUGCCUUCGAUACUGUUUGGCUUGAGACCGGAAGAGGUAAGUGGAACUGCGAGUGUAGAGGUGAAAUUCGUAGAUAUUCGCAAGAACACCAGUGGCGAAGGCGGCUCACUGGCCCGGUACUGACGCUGAGGUGCGAAAGCGUGGGGAGCAAACAGG
rnacentral:rRNA from 1 species